rnacentral:rRNA from 1 species
AAAGUCUAACCUGCCCUAUGAGUUAUUAAAUGGCUGCAGUAAUUUGACUGUGCAAAGGUAGCAUAAUAAUUAGUUUUUUAAUUGGGAACUGGAAUGAAUGGUUGGACGAGAAAAAUACUGUCUCAAUUUAAAUUUAAUUAGAAUUUUAUUUUUAAGUUAAAAAGCUUAAAUAUAUUUAAAAGACGAGAAGACCCUAUAGAGUUUUAUAUUAAAUAUUAUAUUUUAUAAAGUUAAAGUAUUUUAUUUUUAAUUAUAGUAUUUAGUAUUUAAUUGGGGUGAUUGAAAAAUUUAAUAAACUUUUUUUGAGUUAUUACAUAUAUUUAUGAGUAAUUGAUCCA